CAGCCGCCGCGGUAAUACGUAGGUGGCGAGCGUUGUCCGGAUUUAUUGGGCGUAAAGGGAGUGUAGGCGGUCUUUUAAGUCUGAUGUGAAAGCCCACGGCUCAACCGUGGAGGGUCAUUGGAAACUGGGAGACUUGAGUGCAGAAGAGGAGAGCGGAAUUCCAUGUGUAGCGGUGAAAUGCGUUGAGAUCGGAAAGAACACCAACGGCGAAAGCACUCUGCUGGGCCGACACUGACACUGAGAGACGAAAGCUAGGGGAGCAAAUGGGAUUAGAUACCCCUGUAGUCCCUGUCUCUUAUAA
rnacentral:rRNA from 1 species